UGAGAUGGGAGAUCACGUGAGCCCGGGAGUUUGCAUUUACAGUAAGCUAUGAUUGAGCUACCACACUCCAGCCUAGAGAGCAAGACCCUGUCUCUUGAAAAAAGAAACCCGGUCGGGCGCGGUGGCUCCCGGGCAAAGGUGUCCUCCCACCUGGUGAGUUAGAGAGGAAGGUGUUAGGUGUGAGGCAGGAAAGAAGAUAAGAAAGAAGACAGGCAGCUUCGGCCCUCCAGGAGCGGGGACCCCCCGCCACCCCCACAACCCAUGCCAACUUCAGGUGUCCAACACCAGAUGGGGCUGCUCCCUCCAUCCCCAACUCAGGUUCUCCCACCCCCUCCCAGCUGGACAGACACCAAAAUCCUGGCCCAGGCCUGGACUCCAACAGUGGGACGAAUCAAACAGUUCCAGUUCUACACACAUUUCUAUUUUAUUAUGGAAAAGGUGGAAACGCCACCUUCUCCACAACAGCAACCAGU
rnacentral:lncRNA from 1 species